CUUAAAUGAAUUGACGGGGCCCGCACAAGCGGUGAGCAUGUGGUUAAUUCGAAGCAACGCGAAGAACCUUACCAGGCCUUGACAUGCUAGGGAACCCGGUGAAAGCCUGGGGGUGCCCCCGCGAGGGGGAGCCCUAAGCACAGGUGCUGCAUGGCCGUCGUCAGCUCGUGCCGUGAGGUGUUGGGUUAAGUCCCGCAACGAGCGCAACCCCCGCCGUUAGUUGCCAGCGGUUCGGCCGGGCACUCUAACGGGACUGCCCGCGAAAGCGGGAGGAAGAGGGGACGACGUCUGGUCAGCAUGGCCCUUACGGCCUGGGCGACACACGUGCUACAAUGCCCACUACAAAGCGAUGCCACCCGGCAACGGGAGCUAAUCGCAAAAAGGUGGGCCCAGUUCGGAUUGGGGUCUGCAACCCGACCCCAUGAAGCCGGAAUCGCUAGUAAUCGCGGAUCAGCCAUGCCGCGGUGAGUACGUUCCCGGGCCUU
rnacentral:rRNA from 1 species